rnacentral:rRNA from 1 species
UACGUAGGGUGCGAGCGUUAAUCGGAAUUACUGGGCGUAAAGCGUGCGCAGGCGGUGAUGUAAGACCGAUGUGAAAUCCCCGGGCUUAACCUGGGAACUGCAUUGGUGACUGCAUUGCUGGAGUAUGGCAGAGGGGGGGUGGAAUUCCACGUGUAGCAGUGAAAUGCGUAGAGAUGUGGAGGAACACCGAUGGCGAAGGCAAUCCCCUGGGCCUGCACUGACGCUGAGAAGCGAAAGCGUGGGGAGCGAACAGG